UCUCCGUUGGUGAACCAGCGGAGGGAUCAUUAUAGAGUUUUCAAAACUCCCAACCCAUGUGAACUUACCUAUGUUGCCUCGGUGGGAGCCUACCCUGUACCUACCCUGUAACGGGUUACCCGGGAGCGGCCCCACCGGUGGACCAUUUCAACUCCGCGUCUUAUGCGUCGGUUUAAAUUGAUGAAUAUUAUCAAAACUUUCAACAACGGAUCUCUUGGUUCUGGCAUCGAUGAAGAACGCAGC
rnacentral:misc_RNA from 1 species